rnacentral:lncRNA from 1 species
AUGCAAGUGUCAGAAAUAUAAUCAGCUCAAGAGGCGAAGAGCAGUAUGUAUGGAAUUGUAUUAGCAUGAGGCACACACUGACCCGGGAGAAAGAGGGAUGCUUAGCUGGUGAAAACCAUCCAUCCCCGUAUAGAAGGCUUUCUGCACAAUGUUAUUUGGGUUCCGAUUAAUCUAAGACCCUGGGAGAAAAGACUACCUCCAGGGAAUCAUGUCCGAUUAGGGACAAAGGAGGGCACAAGCCCAAUUCAGUCACACGUGAGAGCGCGGGGCAGGGGUUGGGGGGGGGCGGUGGUGAAGAGGCGGCAGUGAAGGUGGAGGAUGAGUUUGCAUACCAGACUAUGGUCACUGCAGAGCUGCUUCCAGACCACCUGACUUCAGGCCCAAGAACAGGUGGUGUUUUUAAAACACACUGUUAUUUACUUUGGCCGUAUAAGUUGAGAACACCUUAAAUAAAACAAUUAAUAAUUUAAUUGAAAAAGUGACUAUGAAUAAGACAUGAAGAUGAUGUAUGCUAGCAGGACCGCAAGCAACGUGGCCCACAACACAGAGAUGCCUCUGGCAAUCUCUUCAGGAAAACAAAGAUUCCUUACCUAGGAUAGGUAAGGCCCUGCUGGAUAAAUUCAAGACAACAAGAAAAUGUUGAUACUCUCAACAAAUCUAAUUUUGCUGCUUUGUCUUCACUUUUAUUAACAGGGGACAACCUUGUAAUCUGAUGACAUCAUGAUCCUGGUAGGCCCACAGACAAAUACUUCCAAUAAAAUAAAAGCUAGAAAGCCCAAAGAACAAGCUAUUAAAGUAACCUGGGAGGAUGCAGCAGUGCCUGGGCAGAAGGCCCGGAGGGGAUUUGCCCUAAUACUGCCACUGUCCCAAGAAGCAGACCCUGAGACCUGCCUCCUGCACUUCAGAGGCCUGACAACUAGAACUGAGAGUGACCCUGAGUUCCUUUUCUUUUAUCUGGCACCAGCUACGCACAUGAUGAGGCCUAGUCAAGCCUGCCUUUGUUCCAGGCAAAAAUUUAACAGCUCUGGAAGCCCCGGCUCUUCGGAGGGCAGCUGCCUGAUGUUAAACCCACGGCCUACCCAGCAGUGACAGCCUGACAUUCUCAUCGCUCCAUCCUGAACACUGCUGACAAAUAAACCCACUCUCAGAAAAGGCAAUUCUUCCCUCGCAGUUCUCCAUACCCAGUCUCGUCUCAUCUGGAAAGCGUAAUUGGCAACAGCCGAAAGGAUAAAUAUUUAAAAAUAAAUCAGGGAGCGCUAACCCCUUCCCUACUCCUCCCCUUACUCACUCUCCAAGCCAGAGGCCUGCCCCCUAACGCUGAGCUGGCUGGUAAAUCACAAUGAUUCUACCGAGCCAAACCUGCUUGUCUCUCUCUCUCUACACAUACACACUUACUAAUACUGUAUCCUUCCACUUUUGCAAAGGUAAAUAUGAUCUCUAAGAUACAGUGGAUGUCAGCAUUCUGACUUCCAGCUUAACCUGGGCGCUCUUUUCACAGUACAGCUGGGUUUAAACAGAUUUGUGCACCCUUCCGGGUUCUUCUAUUUUUAUUAAAUUAUAUGUAGACAUUGAUUUUAAAACAAGUGCUUAAAUAACCUGGAGGCUUUAACAAAGAAAAAUCCAGAAGAGGGCAAGAAACAAAAACAAACGUUCCUGAAAUAAACAAGGAACCAUUUGGAGCUGAAUUUCGCUCCAUGGCCUGAGUUCACCCCAUGAUUUUGAGGCAGUUAUAUUUAGGGGCCUGGUACCCGCUGGGUGGCCAGGCCUUCCUGGGUAUGGAACAGAAUGCAGACCUUCCUCAGAACAGCUCACAUUUGCCUUCAUAACCAUUGGAAGCUGGUGUGCCAAGGUCUGCACACAGAGGUUUUGAUUCACAUUUUUCUGCUGAAGCCUCAAGGCCUCCAUCCAUCCCUACAGUGCUAAUUCCAUAGAUUAAUUUUCACCCCCAAAUCAUAGAUGGAACAUUAUCUAAUUUCCUUACCCACCCUCCUCAGCUCAGGUGCUAAAUCUGUAAAUGAUAUCCCACAAGAAAGACCCAAAUGAGUAACUAUUUUUUAAAAGCUGUGAUUCGGGAGAGUUUUUCUAAAUUAAUUUUAAGUUACAAAGCCCCAAGUUUUAAGGAAGCCAAAAUAAAGAAGUUGCCUUAAAACAGCUUUACAUGUUACGUAAAGAAAUCUCUCUUUCUCGCUCCUUCUUUUUUAAACAAAAAUAUUAUUUCUGAAAGGGCAAAGGGAAUUUGCCAUGCAAGACUUUUAUACCCAGGGGGAUUCUUACAUUUGUGUUUCUAAACAUUGAAAUUGAGAAUUUUAAUGAAAAGGCGGACAGAUGCUUAAGGACAGCAUCGCAAUCUGGGUCCAUACAUUACAGGAGAGAGAGGCGCUUUGUUUGGGGCCAAGAAAAAAGAGGUGGACUCCUAUUUUGUUCAUAGGCCAUCCCCACCGUCUGACACAUCCCUUUACAGUCAGUCUGAUGCUAACCACUGAAUUCUUCGAGGGGAAGCAGGUUGGAAGGAGAAGAAAGGAAAAGGGAAACAGAAGAGGAAAAGAAAUGGGUGAGGGGAUACUGCCUGUUUAUAUAAAUUGUAGAUUUUUUUUAAAAAAUUCUCAACACAGUAUCCAUUCCAUAGUAUGCACCAAGAGCACUUUCACA